UUAAUGAGAUGCUAAAUUGGCUCAAAUGUUCCUUCAUGUAUUAAUUAGUUACUAGUUUCAAUCAAAAGAAGUCCAAGUCUACAAUUGGCUGUUGGAAUUUAUGUUCAUAUAUCCAGGUUCUGUUUUCUUUCUCCUUUUUUUCUUCAGCAGCAAACAUCAAUUAUUACAACCCAUUUAUGUCAAUUCUUCAUUAAUUCGUAAACAUUUCAUACAUAUAAUCAUGCUGAAUGUAUUUGUGAACAUAAUUCGAUUACCAGAGUUUGGAGGUAAUAAAUAAAUCCUCCAUCUUCCCAACUCCAUCAUCCAACAGCUUCUUUAAAUCCGAACCUAUCAGCAAAGAAGGAACAAAGGAUGAGUCACACACACACACACACAGAGUCAUAGUACAUGUGAAUGUGGAGUCCCAUUUUGAUUCCCAAAUGUCCCACUGUCCCUUGAAACAAAAUGGGACAAAAGCAUCAUUAUCUCCAUGGCACUGUUGUGUGAAAACUUUAAGCAAUUAGAGGUCUUUCCACAUCAAUUAAAUCACUACCCUUCCUCAAUAUGCCUUAGAAUUGCUACACUUCCUCAAGUUCGAUUGCUGGAAAAUCCCUGAAAUUGUAGUGGAACCAAACCCCAUGACAUUUUCUAAAUUUAAACUCAAAAUUUCUGAACCCACACAACUCCAAAGUAAAACAUUUCAUUUAUAAAAUUCAAGUUAUUAUUUCAUAUCAGAAUCCCAUUUCCAGAAAGGGGAAAAUAAAUCCAAAUUCAAGUUAUUAUCUCAGUCCAGACACUUUGUUUAAUAUUUAAACCAACACGCGUGUUGGAAACAUAUUUUCACGAGAAAGGGAAUGGAGAAGAAAUGAACUAUAAAACCAAGAAAUUAAGGAAAAAGAUAAAAAGAUGAAGAAGGCCCGAACACAUGAUCUUUGUCUUCAAACGAUAUUUGUCUCUUCUCGACUUAAUAAGAUGCUUAAAGGGAUACUUGGCAAAUAGUUUGCAUGAAUUAUCAAGCCUUGACAAGGAUUAAUCACUCAAACAUUAAGUAAAAUCCUCCAAAACUGAAGAACACAAAAGAGAGGAUUUGAAUAUGAAGAAUGAAAUUGAUUAUCUUUUGUUUUAUGGAAUCAAUUGCUUUCUCAAGGAUGAAUUUUG
rnacentral:lncRNA from 1 species